UUUUGCACUUUAUCUUUUUUUUUUUUGUAUAUUUCCUGUCCUCACAGUUGUAAUUCUUGUUGUUCUUAUGCAUGUUCAAUCAUAUAUAAAGUCAAGGACCAUUAAAGAUGCAUGAUAGGAUAAAAUUUCCAAAACAAAAAGUAGAUGCAUCUAAUCUAGUUUUGCUGUUUAUAGAUGAAGAGAAUUUCAUAAAUCUAGUUUCAAAUUAUUUUCUUCAAAUUUGAAAUCAUUUAUUUCACCUUUAGUUGGCAUGUGUCCACGAGUAUUGCUUACAUGUCAUAGUGUGUUUAGUAUAGAGAAACAAGAUCAUUCAGCAUGUCUCCAGCUUUUAAAUCUAGGUAGAUACUUUAAGCAUAAUAGAAUUAUGUAAGUUCUUAGAGAAUGAACAUGUUUUUGUCGUUAUCCCUCCUUUUGUAACUUUCUUUGUCCCAUUUGGGGUAGAGGAUCUGACUUGCUCCUUUUUUAAUUUAAUUUUUUUUUUAUAGGAAAUUCCCAUAACUUACUAGGUGAGUUCUUAAUAUAUGCAUUGCUUUCAGGGAAAGGUAUUCUCAUAUUCUGAAUCCAUACAAGCAAGGGCUUAGGCUGUGAUGCUCCUUAAGCAGUUAAAUUACCCGGUAUGUAUUUCUCCAUGGUAAAGCAAAAUACGAUGCAAUAAUGAAUCCAUACAAGCAAGGGCUUAGGCUUUGAUGCUCCUUAAGCAGUUAAAUUAUCCGGUUGAGAAUUUAAAGGUGCAACAAUAUGAAAAGUUAGAACAAUUCCUUGUGGAUCUCCAUCUUGAAUCUAAGGAAUUAAUGCAGGUCUCUUUGAAUCUUGAUAUGCCCCCGAUCAUGUAGAUCUUUCUGAUUCAACUUCUGUUGAUAGCUUUAUGUGUUUGGAAGUCUCUCACACCUUUGCUACCAUUGGAUUAUAUUAUUUAAAAGCCAAUGAAAUAUCUAUAUGUUUUGUAUA